GAAUUUGUCAUGGAGCUGAUGGAAAAUGUGUCGGCACUCGGCUGUAUUUCAACACGGAGGACGUCUGGCAGCAGCAAAAAGAUAUUCAACUGACGAUAAUCAACUGUCGAAAGGAUUUGUUGUGAAGAAGAAUUUGUCACAAAGCUGAUGGGAAAAGUGUCGGCACUCGGCUGUAUUUCAACACGGAGGACGUCUAGCAGCAGCAAAAAGAAAUUCAACUGACGAUAAUCUACUGUCGAAAGUAUUUUGAAGAAGAAUUUGUCAUUGAGCUGAUGGAAAAUGUGUCGGCACUCGGCUUCGUUUCAACACGGAGGACGUCUGGCAGCAGCAAAAAGAUAUUCAACUGACGAUAAUCAACUGUCGAAAGGAUUUGUUGUGAAGAAGAAUUUGUCACAAAGCUGAUGGGAAAUGUGUCGGCACUCGGCUGUAUUUCAACACGGAGGACGUCUAGCAAUAGCAAAAAGAAAUUCAACUGACGAUAAUCUACUGUCGAAAUGAAGAAGAAUUUGUCACAAAGCUGAUGGGAAAAGUGUCGGCACUCGGCUUCAUUUCAACCUGGAGGAAGAUUGGCAGAAUUAUAGUAUAAGUUUUCCCCUUACGCAUUAGCGCUCAUCUCUCAUCCACUCAUCCAACACACAUUGACUAUCGCCGGCCGGCAACACACACAUAUUAUACACAUUAUCCGUUUUAUAUUAUAUAGAAUUAUUAAUAUCUACAUAUAGUUUAAGUUAUUGUAUAUUUUUUUUUAUUAUUUGAAUGCAUUUAUAUGAUCAGUUGCGUAUUUAGAAAUUGUAUGAUAAGGGCAACACAUAUUUUGCUGCCUCCCUCCCAUUAAAAAAAAAAUUAAAAUGCCUCGCAUUGGUCAAACUGUUAAUACCAUAGAAUACCGUGUUAGAUACUUAUAUAAACAUUAUAGUAUUUUACACCUCUAUGGCACACAUUUGUUGUGAAUAAUAUUAAUGAUUGACGUCACUGCGCCAGUACUCAUAAAGUACGAAAUAAAAUUUUGCUGCCCCUCUAAAUCUUUAAAAAUACGCCCCUGCAUAUAAUGCGUUCUCGCUUACGAUGUGGAUUAGGCCUACUGGGGACACCACAAUAAAAAAACGCGCCUCGUGUAAUACCUCAUAAAGUUAUUAAACAAUACGGACAAUGUUAUUGCACGUCGUUUAAUAAUAAAGGUGG